rnacentral:tRNA from 1 species
CGCGGGGUGGAGCAGUCUGGUAGCUCGUCGGGCUCAUAACCCGAAGGACAUUGGUUCAAAUCCAAUCCCCGCUACCA